ACAAAGGCUCUUUUAAGAGCCACAGCAACUCUUCACAAGGGCUUCUU
rfam:Takifugu rubripes genomic scaffold, scaffold_8224